AUGUUCUCUGUAGCUCUGAUGCUGCUGCUGGCAGCUGGAUCCUGUGUGUACAGUAUUGAUCUCAUUCAGCCAGACUCAAUGGUUGUGCAGCCUGGACAGUCUUUGACCAUCACCUGUCAGGUCUCUGGUUAUGCAACAGGUUUGAUCAGACAGCGUGAAGGAAAACCAAUGGACUGGAUUUUUGAAAUGUGGGGAGGAGGUGACUUUUACCAAAAUGAUGCACUGAAGAACAAGUUCAGCUACAGCAGAGACACUUCUGCUAGAACAGUGACUAUUAAAGGACAGAAUCUGCAGCCUCAGGACACAGCUGUGUAUUACUGUGUCCGCUGUGUCCGAUGUCUUCCAGCUCUACUUAUCUGA